CCUGAUCUGAAAGAGGUGAUUCUGUAUGUGAGCUGCCUGACUGAGAUCUGGGCCACCAGGAUCCUCAAACUCAUCCACAUCUGCCCCAGUUUAAAGAACGUAAAGUUUGGAGCUGCUGUCUGGGAUGCGAGUAGUUUAAAGAAGGAAGAUGGUUUGUUGCUGGAGGAGGGGAUCUGCUUACUGCAGGAGGCCCAGAGGCGCCCAGACUGCACCAUCACACUUACAGGGAAGUGCUGCUGUAAAGCCACUGAGCCGUGCACUGAGUUUAAGGACGCGAUCCUCAGCUGUAAUGAACUGUGGAAGAUUACGCUGGGGAGAGAGGAAGAGAGAGAGGACAGAGAGGAAGAGGAAGAGGAAGAGGAGGGUGAAGAGGACA